rnacentral:lncRNA from 10 species
AUAAGCUAUGUACUAUUGAAGGAGCUUUAGCCGCUGCAAAUCUUAUCCUUCCUCCCUCCAGGUUUUCUUCAGUGUCGAAAUUGGUAUGGAGACGUGGAUGGAGAUUUGAGUCUUAGGAAUUUGGGAAGAGCUCAAGUGAUUCAGAAUGAAAAGACCUUGGCACAGACCUGUUAAGGAAGCUCCAUAUAAGGGCCACCGGGGUUGGCUGAGUCAGAAUACCAGCCAUGUGGCAUGUCGCAUGGGGCAAGAGCUGUGCUGCCCAUGGGAGUCCAGAGAAGGAGCACACUAAGGACCAACACCAGCAUUUGCUCUAGGGGAAGCCUGCAGCUAUGUCAUGAGGACCCUCAACAGCCCUGUGCAGAGGACUAUGUGGCAUGAAAGAUACCUUCUGCCAACAACCAGCCCCAACUUGCCAAGCAUGUGAACAAGCUAAACUGAAAGCAGAUCUUCAGCCCCAAUCAAGCCUUCAGAUGACAGUAACCUCAGCCAAUAUACUGACUAUAACCUCAUAAAAGACCCUGAACCAGAACCCUCUAAGCCACUCUCAAACUCUACCCCACAUAAACUGUGAAAUAAUAUAUGUUUAUUGUUAUUUUGGGCC